UAGCAGGCUUAAGAGUGCAACAUAGCUGUUGAGUGCUGUGCUGUCGUUCUCCCUGCUCAAAAAAAAAGUUGUUUCUUAACUAUACCUGUCUGCUAUGCCUAUGUAGCAGCCAGGGACGCUUAGUCUCAUACAC
ensembl:snoRNA SNORA63 Small nucleolar RNA SNORA63